CGAUGAUAGGCGACGAAAGACGUGAUAGCC
rnacentral:sRNA from 1 species